AGAGCACAGGGCGGAUGCCUUGGCACUAAGAGCCGAUGAAAGACGCGACAAGCUGCGAAAAGCUGCGGGGAGGGGCAAAUGCCCGACGAUCCGCAGGUGUCUGAAUGGGGAAACCCACAUGAGAGGCCCUCAUGUAUCCAUGCGCCAACACAUAACGCAUGGAGGGGAACCCGGCGAACUGAAACAUCUAAGUAGCCGGAGGAAGAGAAAGAAACGUCGAUUCCGCAAGUAGCGGCGAGCGAACGCGGAGGAGCCCAAACCGGGAUGCGAGCAUCCCGGGGUUAGGACCGCAUGACUGAUCCGACGAGCCUAGCGGAAUGGCUUUGGGAAAGCCAGCCGGAGAGGGUGAAAGCCCCGUAGGCGAAAGGCGAGUCGGCAGGGCGGGAUCCAGAGUACAUCGAGACACGUGGAACCUUGAUGGAAGAGGCGGGGACCACCCCGCAAGGCUAAACACUCCUUAGUGACCGAUAGCGCAGAGUACUGUGAAGGAAAGGUGAAAAGAACCCCGGGAGGGGAGUGAAAGAGAACCUGAAACCCUGUGUUUACAAGCUGUGGGACCGCCAUACGGGCGGGACCGCGUACUUUUUGUAGAACGGUCCGGCGAGUUGCGCCGGCUGGCAAGGUUAAGCGCCUCGGGCGCGGAGCCGAAGGGAAACCGAGUCUUAACAGGGCGACGAGUCAGCCGGCGCAGACCCGAAACCGGGUGAUCUAUCCAUGUCCAGGCUGAAGCUGCCGUAAGAGGCAGUGGAGGGCCGAACGCACAUCCGUUGAAAAGGGUGGCGACGAGGCGUGGAUAGGGGAGAAAUUCCAAUCGAACCCGGAGAUAGCUGGUUCUCCUCGAAAUAGCUUUAGGGCUAGCCUCGCGUAAGCCUGCCGGAGGUAGAGCACUGAAUUUCCUAGGGGGCGUCAAAGCUUACCGAAGAAUAUCAAACUCCGAAUGCCGGCCAGACGAUUCAUGGGAGUCAGACCGUACGAGAUAAGUUGGACGGUCGAAAGGGAAAGAGCCCGGACCGCCGGCUAAGGCCCCCAAGUGCGUGUUAAGUGGGAAAGGAUGUGGGAUUUCGAAGACAGCCAGGAUGUUGGCUCAGAAGCAGCCACGCAUUCAAAGAGUGCGUAACAGCUCACUGGUCGAGAGGUCCCGCGCCGAAAAUGUCCGGGGCUGAAACACGCCGCCGAAGCCGCGGGAUGCGUCAAGCAUCGGUAGAGGAGCAUUGCCGCCGCGAGGAAGCGCCACCGGGAGGAGGCGUGGAGGGGCGGGAAGAGAGAAUGCCGGAAUGAGUAGCGAGAGGAAGGUGGGAAUCCUUCCGGCCGAAUAUCCAAGGUUUCCAGGGUGAAGCUGAUCUGCCCUGGGGAAGUCGGGGCCUAAGGCGAGGCCGAGAGGCGUAGCCGAUGGACAACAGGUUGACAUUCCUGUACUGCGUCAUGACAGAACUGCGGGGACGCAUGCGGAGAAGGAUGGGCCGGGAGACGGAAGACCCGGCGCAAGCGGGGGAGGGGCCAGGCAGGAAAAUCCGCCAGGCAGACCCGGGCCCGCGACGCGAAGCGAAGAGAGAGUAGCGAAGCAUCCGGAGCGCGUGCCGAGAAAAGCCGCUAUGGCUCGUGACGCACCCGUACCGUAAACCGACACAGGUGGAUGGGGAGAGAAUCCCAAGGCCGACGGGAGAAGCAUUGUCAAGGAACUCGGCAAAAUGGCCCCGUAACUUCGGGAGAAGGGGCGCCUGCGCAGGCAGGCCGCAGAGAAUAGGCUCAAGCAACUGUUUAGCAAAAACACAGGUCUAUGCAAAACCGCAAGGUGAGGUAUAUGGGCUGACGCCUGCCCGGUGCUGGAAGGUUAAGAGGAGGGGUUAGCGCAAGCGAGGCUCCGAGUCCAAGCCCCAGUAAACGGCGGCCGUAACUAUAACGGUCCUAAGGUAGCGAAAUUCCUUGUCGGGUAAGUUCCGACCCGCACGAAAGGCGUAAUGAUUUGAGCGCUGUCUCGACAAUGCACCCGGUGAAAUUGAAGUGCCAGUGAAGAUGCUGGCUACCCGCGCCAGGACGGAAAGACCCCAUGGAGCUUUACUCCAGCUUGGCACUGGGGUCCGGUGCUGCACGUACAGGAUAGGUGGGAGGCAAGGAUGGGGCGACGCCAGUCGCGCCGGAGCCGCCGUUGGGAUACCACCCUUGCAGCAUUGGGCUUCUAACCAGCCGCCGUGACCCGGCGGUGGGACACUGCCAGGCGGGGAGUUUGACUGGGGCGGUCGCCUCCGAAAGGGUAUCGGAGGCGCUCAAAGGUUCCCUCAGAAUGGUUGGAAACCAUUCGGAGAGCGCAAAGGCAGAAGGGAGCUUGACUGCGACACCGACGGGUGGGGCAGGUACGAAAGUAGGACUUAGUGAUCCGGUGGCAUAAGGUGGGAUUGCCAUCGCUCAACGGAUAAAAGCUACCCUGGGGAUAACAGGCUUAUC
rnacentral:rRNA from 1 species